rnacentral:lncRNA from 1 species
CAGAAAGAAGGUGAUUAAUUCUGCCUAAGUUCGACACGAUCCCAUGAGACGACCCUGCCAUCCAGAGAAGCACAAUCUUCAGCCUUCAAGACACUUUGGACUUUGACUAUUGAGUUUCUAAAUUUAAAAACUAAAUUGAGUGUCCUUAGAACCAAUUUAUCUUGAGGAGGAUAUCAUUUUUUGAGGAGUUAAAAGGGCAAUUAUUGUUUCUAGGUCAUUUGUUAAAAAUUGGCACACAAUAUAUUUUAAUGCUAUUUAGGUGCAUAUCUAUCAUGGAUUAUUAACUUUGAUCAUGUUUGUUGUCUUUGCUCCCUAGAGGUACAUAAGCUCUGAAGGAAAUAUCAAAUCCCAUCCAACAUUUUCACUGAAGAGAUCAUAACUUUCAAUCCAAAUUCUAUAAUUCAAUUGCAAUAUUAAAUUUGAAUACAUGAAAUUUAUGCAAUCAUUAUACAUAUCGUUUCUAAUAGUUGGACUGAUAGUUUGACAUAGGGCUAAUAAUGCUCCCCUGUUGUAACAAGAAUUUCCGGGUGCUUAUAUAUUAUGAGACUACUCUGCAGGCUUCAUUUGUUCUAUUCCUCUUUUUCCACGUGGCAACAGAGGCUGAAACAUAUAGAGGAAAAGAAGUACAUCGGCAAAUAAAAUAUGCUUAUAGGAGAGAAAAAACAAAUGUCUCCUAUGGGAUCUUGAUGAGGUAAUGUAUGUUAAGUUAUUCAGAAAAAAGCAAAUAAUAUGCAAAUGUGAAAAGUUAUUACACGUCAUGCCAACUCUUAGCUCCCAGCCCAAGCU